rnacentral:rRNA from 1 species
GGGGAAUCUUGCGCAAUGGGCGAAAGCCUGACGCAGCGACGCCGCGUGGGUGACGAAGGCCUUCGGGUUGUAAAGCCCUGUGGGGAGGAACGAACCGUCCGGGGGCCAAUACCCUCCGGGCCUGACGGUACCUCUUUAGCAAGCAUCGGCUAACUCUGUGCCAGCAGCCGCGGUAAGACAGAGGAUGCGAACGUUGCUCGGAAUUACUGGGCGUAAAGCGCGCGUAGGUGGCCUUGUAAGUCUCGUGUGAAAGCCCUCUGCUCAACGGAGGAAGUGCACGGGAUACUGCGAGGCUGGAGUACAGAAGAGGACAGCGGAAUUCCCGGUGUAGAGGUGAAAUUCGUAGAUAUCGGGAGGAACACCAGUGGCGAGGGCGGCUGUCUGGGCUGAUACUGACACUGAGGCGCGAAAGCGUGGGAAGCAAAC